rnacentral:rRNA from 1 species
GACGAACGCUGGCGGCGUGCUUAACACAUGCAAGUCGAACGGAAAGGCCCUUCUUUUGUGGGGUGCUCGAGUGGCGAGCGGGUGAGUAACACGUUAGUAACCUGCCCUUGACUUUGGGAUAACUUCAGGAAACUGGGGCUAAUACCGGAUAGGAGCUCCUGCUGCAUGGUGGGGGUUGGAAAGUUUCGGCGGUUGGGGAUGGACUCGCGGCUUAUCAGCUUGUUGGUGGGGUAGUGGCUUACCAAGUCUUUGACGGGUAGCCGGCCUGAGAGGGUGACCGGCCACAUUGGGACUGAGAUACGGCCCAGACUCCUACGGGAGGCAGCAGUGGGGAAUAUUGCACAAUGGGCGGAAGCCUGAUGCAGCAACGACGCGUGCGGGAUGACGGCCUUCGGGUUGUAAACCGCUUUCGCCUGUGACGAAGCGUGAGUGACGGUAAUGGGUAAAGAAGCACCGGCUAACUACGUG